GUUGAAAUAAAAAAUCACUCUCUCUCUCUCUCCCAAAUUCUCUCUUCCUCCAAAACUUCAUUGAAGACCAAUAGAGCUCCAAAAAGAAGAUCAAGCCUUCAAGUUUUUCAACCCAAUUUUGUAGCUCUCUCAUCAAUAAGUUUUGUUACUACUUCAUGAAUCGACGCAGUUGCAUAUGUUGAUUGUGAAUUCUUGGGUGUUGAAGGGUGAAGUCCCAUGAAGGCCAAUGAGGUUCAGGCCAUUAAGGAGAUUUGUGGUUAUUGAAGAAGAGGACUUGCCUCUUUCCUAAGUCAAUUGGUGAGUCCUCUUGAGUUCCGAGGAUAAAGACACUCAUCAAGCCUUAUUGUUUUUUCUAUGUUUUGAGACAAUUAUUUCAUUUUCAUGUUGAGACUUUCCUUGUAGCCUAUAUGGCAUAUUGUA